GCGAGCAGGUGCCAACGGUGCCAACGACGCCAACGACGCCAACGGUGCCAACGGAGCCGGGCCGAGGGAGCGGCCGUGUCUGUCCUGCUGAGCCGCCGAGGGAUCAGGCUAGCCCCGAGGCCGGACGCGCAGCAUCGCGUCCCCUGGCCACCGUGGCUAGUGCCUCUCUCCUCUCCAGGUCCAGCCCCCAUCUUAGCGGUGCCUGUAGCUGCCUAGGAUCUGAGCUGCGACUUACUGGGCAGCGCCUUAGCUGCUGUAUUCACCAUGCUGAGGGAGGCAGUGGACAUCCUGCCCAGAGAAGCAGGACGCCCACAGGAGCGUGUCCACCCUCACCAAGCUAAGGAUGUGGUGGGAACUCGAAAUCUGAGACUUCCAGAAGAUCCUGGCCACCAGCUGGUGCCUCGUACAGAAAACCCCGCAGGUCCUGCCAGCACCGGACCUUUGCUCUUUCUCCUGUAGCUUUGCCUUGGCUCAAGACCCAUCUGCACCAGUGCUCUGGUUCCUGGGGGCUCUUUUGGAGGCCUGGCUGUCCCUGGGCUCUGCAAGAGCAGACAAGAUGUGGGUCUUGUUGGGCCCCGGUCAGUCCUAACCUGGGAGGAGAAGACUGGAGUCUGUGCAUCCGACUUAGAGAUGCUGUGAACAAAUCACUAGAGAUAGCCUGUGUCCCUUGGUAACCAGGAGGAGUUUCAGCAGGAAAUUCAGCCUAGCCCUGGGGGGUCACAGCCUCUGCCUUAUGAAUGUAAUUUCAAAGGGGAUGAUACUUCCCAAGCAUCAGUGUGUCAGACACAAGGCCAGGACAGAGAGUUAAUAAGCAUGGUGAGAGUGGAGUAAAAGCUGAGAUGUCCUCCAACUGGCAGGCCCUGAGGAAGGCUGCCUGAAGGAGGUAGCCCCUGAACCCUGCAGGACAUGGAGGACAGAGGACUGGGUUUGCCUUUCAGAACCCAGUGGUCUGAUUUCCACAGAAAAUUCCUAUAGUAAUUUGAUCCCUGAGAUCCCCCAACAUGGGAGGGAAAUGGGGAUGUGGGAAGGGUAGCAUAAAGCUUCUCCUUGGAGGGGUUGGGCUGUGCCAGUAGGGCUCAGCUAAGUUGUCUUCUGUGCUCCCACUGGCUCUUUUCCUCCUUUCCUGCUAGGUGCAGAGCGUGUGCAUACUGCAUCUUGAUCCUAUAAGGCUUCCUGGUAGCAGCUUCCUCAGAGCUGGAGGGGUAGGCAGACUCCAUCCCAUCCAGCCACACUCCCUGCUGUCCCUUGGUGGGGGUGCCAGGGGCAGUACCAAAGCAAGGGUGGGGUGGGGUGCUUGUAUCCCCUCAGGGGUUCACUCUUUGUAAGAAAAUCUGCCAGCACUGUCUGUUGCUGUGUAACAAACUACCCCACAAUUUAGCAGUUUGUAUAUUUAAUACCUGAAGGGUUAUUGGGAUCUCUGCCUGGUGGUGUCUCACAGGCCACAGCUGCGUGUGCUCAGGCUGUGGUCUCAUGUGAAAGCCCAGCCGAGAGGAGAUGCUGUCACUCACAUGAAGUACAGUUGGCAAGAUUCAGUUCCUCUCCAACAAAAUGCCAAAGGGCCUCAUUUUCUGCUUUUUGGCUGGAGGUCUCACUUAGCCCUUAGCAUGGGGUUAUCCACAGUGCACCUCCCAAUGUGACAGGUGCCUCCCACCUGACCAAAGCAAGAGAGAACAAAUGAGGAAGUUUCCUCUUUGUCAUCCAUCUGACUUCAUAAAGGAAAUUCUGGGAUGUUUUGCUCUUUGUAGGAGUUCAAGCUCAUACUUAAAAAGGGAGCAGGUCUAUACUGGGGUACAUACACAAGGAAGGGAGAUGUUGAGGGCCACCUCAUGGUUCAUCUCCACAACUUGUGAUGAUACCAAAUUCCCUCAACUGUCUUGGACACAAUACUGAGUUCAGUAUCCUGUGUACUAGUGUCUGACCUUUUAAAGUCCUGGUACAUCCUGGUAUAUGCGUAUGGAAGCAAGCACAUGCUUGUUAGAGCUGUCUCCGCUCUCUGUUGACCCCUUUCCAGGGCAGCUAAUUUCCUUGAAUUUCCCUGUUUGGGUGACAGAGCUUCUAAAGCUGGGUUGCUAGGCUGUCCCUCAAGGAAGAGGCUUAGGUCCUCAGUUGAUACUUCAGAGGUCCCUUAGGAAUAGACUGGGAGAAAUGACGGGUAAGCAUGGGGGAGAAGUCUGCUGUGGUGCCCUUGUCUGUAUCCACGGGCCACACAGAUAAGGCUUGAGCACAGCUCUGCUAGUGCUCAACACUCCUAGACAAGAUCAGGUACUCUCUCUCCCGUCCCUGUUCUCUAAAGCUUUAAUGAGCCGUUGGUUCUGCAACACAGUGUUCCAUCAUACCAUGGCAAUCUCUGACGUUUCCCACCUCCAGGUCCAGGCAGAGCUGGCACCCUUGACUGCUUGUAGAAGUAAUAAACCUCAAUCUAUGAAGGACUGUUUGUACUGGGAUGGAACCUGGGUUGUUACACAUGAGAAACAGUAUCCACUGUUGCCUUGUUACACCUACCCUGGGCUGAUAGCUCUUUAUGAAUCUCAGCCCCCACCUUGCCCUGUGCUUGAUAAAAUGAAAAACUGGAGCAUAAGAAGACCUUCUGUACCUCCUCUUGCUCAGUAAAAUUCUUUUCUGCCUUUGUC